CACCGCCCGUCACAUCACGAAAGUGAGUUGUACUAGAAGUCGUCACGCUGACCGCAAGGAGGCAGACGCCCACGGUAGGGUCAGCGACUGGGGUG
rnacentral:rRNA from 1 species